AGCACAAUAUGUGCAGUCAAUAGAUGUCGAAAUUAAUUAAGCGAGAAAAAAAGAUUAUCAUAGACAAAGAAAAAACAUAUUAACUGGACCAAGCUAGAAAAAGGAAACAAGCAGAUAUAUAUGCACUUCAGAAACAUAUGCAUGCAUAAAUAUGCAUCUAGCUAGAUGAUCCCAGCCAACAAAUUAAAACUCGGUACUUGUUGUAGAGAAGAUGACUGACCCAUCACCAUUGAUUGGCUAAUUCUUCCAUUAAUUCGAUCCUGGCGAUAAGAAGGCAAUUAAGCUAGAUUGGGCAUGUACAUAUGCUAGGUUGGCCUUAUAGUUUGUAGAUCUAAGCAUCUAGCAGAGAGAAGGGGUUCAUAUCAUGCUUGCUUCUAACUAGCUAGCUAGGGUUUUAGUAAGCUCUUUUUGUGCUGCCAUGAGAAGAUGAAACUGCCAGAUGAUCUGAUGCAUGUCUCUAGGUUUUGUAAAUCAUCAUCAGCUAGAGAACUACUGUGAUCAGAUCAUGCUGGCAGCUUCAUCCACUUGUGGUGCACCAUACAUAUGAGAGAGAGAGAGAGAGAGAGAGAGAGAGA
rnacentral:precursor_RNA from 2 species